AUGAACAUCCGCGUGCGAGCUCUCGAGACCACCCAUGUCCGGCCGGAGAAAAUUCCCACCGGUCCGCCGUCGGAUCACGGCCCCAUCAGGCUCUCACUCUUCGACACCCUGUUCCUCUCGCUCCCCCCGAUCCAGCGCCUCUUCUUCUAUGACGGCGAGGACCUCCCGCCGUUCCCGGCGCUCGUCCGCUCCCUGCGGUCCUCCCUCGCCGCCACGCUUGCCGUCUUCAUCCCGCUCGCCGGCAAGCUUGCGGCCUGCCCCGAUGGCGACGUCGCCAUUGACUGCUCCCCCGACGCUCUUCGUCCAGGUGUCAGGAUCGUCGUGGCAGAGUACUCCGGCGACGCCGCCGACUUGCGUCGGGUCGCGCGGGACGCCGAGCACGACACCGAGGCGUUCCUGCAGCUCGUGCCGGAGCUCGAGGUGCGCAGGCUGCCGGCGCCCGUGCUCGCUGUCCAGGUCACGCGGUCGGCACCGGGAGGGCGAGACGACGAGGGUGGCGCAGGCGCCGUGGCCGUCGGGGUUUCGAUGCACCACGCGGUGGCCGACGGGCAGUCGCUUUGGCAGUUCAUGCGGGCGUGGGCCACCGCGUCGCGAGAGGGCUCGCUGGCACUGGCAGGGCUCGUGCCGCCGCCGACGUUCGACCGGGCGGGGAUCCUGCGGCACCCCAAAGCAGAGGCGGCUACGCGCCAGUUCGGCCGGCUCUCCGCGCAGGAUCUGCCCGCGGUGAACACGCUCCCGGAGCCGGACUGGAGGCGGCAGAGCAGGCGGACCUACCUGCUCACCGCCUCCCAAAUCCAGUCGCUCAAGCGCCGCAUAUUACAGGGCAAGGGCGACCAGCCGCCGGAGCCUCCAACGACGUUCGUCGCCAUCGCGUCCCUGCUCUGGACGUCCAUCGCCCGCGCCAAGCUCCCGAACCACGCGGCUGCUGACGACGUGUACUUCCUGUUCCCCGCGGACUGCCGCCGGCGCCUGCGCCCGCCUCUGGAGCGGGGCUUCUUCGGCAACUGCGUCAAGCUCUGCUACGCGCGGGCCAGGACAGGCGACCUCUGCGGCCACGACCACGACGCCGCACUCGCACGCGCGGCGGCGGCGGUGCGGCGUGCGAUCCGCGAGCACGUGGAGGAGGAGGACCCGCUGGGCGACGCCGACCGGUGGGCGGAGACCAUCCAAAAAGUCCCGGUGGGAAGACUGGCCAGGCAGGGAGCAUCGCACCGGUUCAUGGCGUACGAGGUGGACUUCGGGUGGGGGGAGCCGAGCCGGGUGGAGAUCGUGUCGAUGCUCAGCGCGGCGGAGAUAGCGAUGCUGGUGGGAGCGCGAGGCGGCGCGGUGCAGGUGUCCGUGGCGCUUGGACGGGAGCACGUGGAUGGCUUCGAGGCCAGCUUCCUGUCGCAGUCCUCCAUCGCAUGA
rnacentral:rRNA from 1 species